UACAAUUACUUCACAUUCUUGCUGCUUUAUCUUUUUUAAAUUAAAAAUAAACCGAUAUUUCUUUUGAAUUUAGAAUUUCAAAAAGGGAAUUUGGAGAAAAUGUGUUCAAAGUCUACGAAAGAACGAACCCUUAAAUCGUUUGUUUAUAGAUUUCAUUUAAGUCAAAACACAGCUGAUGAAUUCAUUUGUGCUAAACAAAGAACAGUUGAUGUUUGUUCCAUUGUUGGCAUUCGGCAUUAACCGAAGGAUUGGUAUUCAGUUUACAACAAAUUAUACGUGUGAUCGGACGAAAAAAAGCGAAAAUUAAUAAUUUGAAGCGGGUAAAUAUGGAGCACGAGGAUAAGAUGUGUGUAUAACAGCAAAUACAUUAGACGUCCGAACUUGUUGAUGUUUAUUUGCUUAUCCAAAACAGGAAGCAAAAUCAUUGUACCAGAAAUUUAUGUCAAGCUGAAAAGGAUGAAGGCAUAAAAGAGUGUGUAUGUCUUGGUCAAUAUUAUUUUGAAUUUAUGCGACAAGUUAGAGCCGAGUCGUUAUUAGAAGACGAAAAUGAUGGAAUAGCAGAUGAAUUGGAAUUAGGUCCAGGUCAACUAGAGCAAUUUCACGGACAAUACCACAAACCCUUUCGAACUGAACGAUAUAAAGAAUGGUGGGGAGAGGAUUUUCUGUCGAGAUCGUAGAAUCGUACUGAGUUCGUCGAUCAAGAUCCGAGAGUGGUUGAUAUAAAGAGUCAGUUUGCUGCAAUCAAGCGCAGACACAAAGCGAAUAAUCAACGUUGGCAAGAAAGAUAUGCAGAGCAUUUACUGGGAUUGGAGGCUUCAAACGUUGCUCCGCCAUCAGUGGGAGAAACGAACGUGAAAAGUAUAAAAAUCAAUUCGAUAUACCAUUUCAAACUGAAGUGUAUCGCAAAUGGUGGUCAGAACACAUUCACAUAAUGCACAAAAGUUACUCGAUGAACUUUCAUCAGUCGUGGACGCAGAUAAAGAACGCGCUGAAAACUCGAUGGAUUUAUUGAAAUUGUCCUAGAACAUUUGAUUUUCGAGACAAAACGCAUCGUAGAAUAUCUCUGUCUAUGGAGUGUUCCAAAGUGAAUGUUUUCGUAUUACCUUACCGCUUAUUACUGUCUCAUUCCAAAAAAAAGAAAAAUAUUUAUUUUGUUUCAGUAUACAAAAAAGAAAUCAAAUAAAAAACACCUUUGCAAAGUCUGUUACCACGAAUUGAAAAAUGAACAUGAGUAAAAAACCAAGUAAACCAAGUAUUCAAGUAAACCAUUCCUAAUUUGCAGCACAUAUCUCUUUCAUUAGAAACUUACCUAUGCUGUGGACUGUUAUUGUCAUGGCUCAUUGUUCAGACUGGAUACCUAAUUUUCAGUUAUAAAAAUAUUGUUUCUUUCUGUUUUAUGAAUUCAACGUUAAUGUUUUAGAAAAGAAAACCCUGUUCAAAGAAGAAGAAGAAGCAAAAUGUCCCAUUUGAUGAACAACUCAAUUCGAAACGCAAUAAAAAGUACACACAUAUUUCAGUUGUAAUUUAAUUCAUUUGUCGCAUUUUUUGAAUGUUUUAUUUGUUGACUUUUCGUCUCUUUUUGGUUUUGGUUUCGUUUUCUGGUAAAUUGUUACUUUUUCAACAGGAUACGUGUUGUUUUAUGCAUUUUUGUAGAGCUGUUGGGGUUUUUGUUUGUUUUAACAUUGUAAAUAUGGAGCAUAUGAAAACCGAAAAGAAAAGUUUAAGACCAGGCUCACAUGGUGUUUAUCAUUACUUUUUAAACAUUUUUUCCCUUUUGUUUUCGUUUAAGUUUUGUGCUUUAAACGAAGGGUCAAUAGCUUCGCCGAAUCAAACCACGACGUUUCUAUUAUUCGUGCAAUUGAAAAACAGAAAUCUCAACAAAAUGAAGAUACUAUGUAAAAUAAACUUCAGCUCAUGUUAAGUGUAAUCAUAUUGACUAUUCAUUAUUCGUUAUCACACAAUUGUAAAUAGUCAUGUGGAGUGAUUGUGGUUCGAUUUGCCAACGGUGCUAACCUUUUGCUUCAUUAUUAUAAUAACAAAGAAUCAAAGGUGUUUGCAAUAGAAAAAGGUUUUUUUUUCAUGAAUUUUAUUUUCAAAUAUGAUCAGAAUAGAAGUUUGAAGAAGCUUCGGAGAAAAUUUAUUGAAUUUUUUUUUCAAAACACAUCCUUCCUGAAAACUUCAUAUUAUUCUGAUGUGUUUUGAAGUCUAUUUUUGUUUAUCUUCAAAUUAAAUUGUCCACGUGGAAAAAGGCUGUUGUCGAAAAAUCGCCAGCCACUUGAAUGCGUAAAGACCAAAUACAUCCAAGUAUUGAUUUUAUUCGUGAAUCCUCAGUGUAUGUGUUUUUUUUACAGGUUAAGUCACUAUCUACGAAUGUCUCGAAAAAAGAUGCGUCGAAAAUUUGUCAAAGAGAGACACAAAAGGUUUUUUUUCUUCUGUUUUUCUAUAAAUGAAAACCGGAUGGUCAUUUUGUUGUAAAUCAGUUCGAGAAAUUGUGCAAAUUUUGUGAUUGGUAUGAUGUGGACAUGCGACUUCAACGGUAUUCUCAUCGAUUAAACACUGGUCAAUUCUCAUUUCAAACCCAUUAUGAAGCAAUCUACAGCAAGGAAAAUGCCGCCAACAGUUGAAGAGUAUGCGUGUGCCAUCAGCAGUUGACCUAAGCCAUUUGUUCGUUUUGUUUUGUUUUUAGAAUAUUGUUGAAUGUCUUUGUAUUGCCUUCCUAAGAAUUGUAAUUCCAUAAAAAAUGACUUUGCUUCGA